rnacentral:rRNA from 1 species
GAUGAACGCUAGCUACAGGCUUAACACAUGCAAGUCGAGGGGCAGCAUGAACUUAGCUUGCUAAGUUUGAUGGCGACCGGCGCACGGGUGAGUAACACGUAUCCAACCUGCCGAUGACUCGGGGAUAGCCUUUCGAAAGAAAGAUUAAUACCCGAUGGCAUAGUUCUUCCGCAUGGUAGAACUAUUAAAGAAUUUCGGUCAUCGAUGGGGAUGCGUUCCAUUAGUUAGUUGGCGGGGUAACGGCCCACCAAGACGACGAUGGAUAGGGGUUCUGAGAGGAAGGUCCCCCACAUUGGAACUGAGACACGGUCCAA